rnacentral:rRNA from 1 species
CCAACAGGGAUUGCCUCAGUAACGGCGAGUGAAGCGGCAACAGCUCAAAUUUGAAAUCUGGCUCUUUCAGGGUCCGAGUUGUAAUUUGUAGAGGAUGCUUCGGGUGCGGCGCCGGUCUAAGUUCCUUGGAACAGGACGUCAUAGAGGGUGAGAAUCCCGUAUGUGACUGGCGACCAACCCCAUGUGAAGCUCCUUCGACGAGUCGAGUUGUUUGGGAAUGCAGCUCUAAAUGGGUGGUAAAUUUCAUCUAAAGCUAAAUACCGGCCAGAGACCGAUAGCGCACAAGUAGAGUGAUCGAAAGAUGAAAAGCACUUUGGAAAGAGAGUUAAAAAGUACGUGAAAUUGUUGAAAGGGAAGCGCUUGCAACCAGACUUGCCUGCAGGUGAUCAACCGUCCUUCUGGGCGGUGCACUCUCCUGCGGUCAGGCCAGCAUCGGUUUGGGCGGCUGGAUAAAGGCCCCGGGAAUGUAGCUUCCUCCGGGGAGUGUUAUAGCCCGGGGUGCAAUGCAGCCAGCCCGGACCGAGGACCGCGCUUCGGCUAGGAUGCUGGCGUAAUGGUUGUAAGCGACCCGUCUUGAAC